rnacentral:lncRNA from 1 species
AUCAUUUAAAUUCAGAUAUUUAAUUAUACUCAAAAUUCACAUUAAUUUAGAUAUAUUCAGAUUUUAGAAGCCCCUUAAAUUCGCAAACUCCUAUAAAAAUUAAUGAGGCUCAGCCGCACGAACCUAAGCCUAUGAGAGGAGUUCGUUUCUUGAAACCUCUUGUUGGCUAGUAAACUCACGUGUAGGGGACACACUUACCACCCCUAGUCAGAAGAGGCUUCUGCUACGUGACAGUGUGCGGGCUUGAGCCAAAUUAAAUAUGUUAACGUUAAUUGGUUAAAUGAAUUUUAAAAAAUCUUCAAAUUAAGGUGACGAUUUAUAUU